rnacentral:rRNA from 1 species
UGGGGAAUAUUGCACAAUGGGCGCAAGCCUGAUGCAGCCAUGCCGCGUGUAUGAAGAAGGCCUUCGGGUUGUAAAGUACUUUCAGCGGGGAGGAAGGGAGUAAAGUUAAUACCUUUGCUCAUUGACGUUACCCGCAGAAGAAGCACCGGCUAACUCCGUGCCAGCAGCCGCGGUAAUACGGAGGGUGCAAGCGUUAAUCGGAAUUACUGGGCGUAAAGCGCACGCAGGCGGUUUGUUAAGUCAGAUGUGAAAUCCCCGGGCUCAACCUGGGAACUGCAUCUGAUACUGGUCAGCUAGAGUCUUGUAGAGGGGGGUAGAAUUCCAUGUGUAGCGGUGAAAUGCGUAGAGAUGUGGAGGAAUACCGGUGGCGAAGGCGGCCCCCUGGACAAAGACUGACGCUCAGGUGCGAAAGCGUGGGGAGCAAACAGG